rnacentral:rRNA from 1 species
UACGUAGGGGGCAAGUGUUGUCCGGAUUUAUUGGGCGUAAAGAGCUCGUAGGCGGUUUGGUAAGUCUGGUGUGAAAUCUCCACGCUCAACGUGGAGGGGCCACCCGAUACUGCCAUGACUGGAGUCCGGUAGAGGAGUGUGGAAUUCCCGGUGUAGCGGUGAAAUGCGCAGAUAUCGGGAGGAACACCCGUAGCGAAGACGGCACUCUGGGCCGGAACUGACGCUGAGGGAGCGAA